GAAGGCGGAUGUAGUUUAUCGAAUCAAAAGCUUACCAAAUAGGGAGUUUCUGAAUAGGGUCUACAAUUAUGUCUUCUCUGCAAAUCAUAAUGCAUUAUCGAAUCAAAAGCUCACAAUGGUCAGGAAGCAGCAAGGAAAAAAAAAUGAUCAGUGAGAGAGAUCAAUUGACAAUCCAACAAUCCUUAAUUUUUGGGGAUAAUAGAAUAA
rnacentral:lncRNA from 1 species